rnacentral:rRNA from 1 species
CCUACGGGUGGCAGCAGUGAGGAAUAUUGGUCAAUGGGAGAGAUCCUGAACCAGCCAAGCCGCGUGAGGGAAGACGGCCCUAUGGGUUGUAAACCUCUUUUGUCGGAGAACAAAACCCGGGACGUGUCCCGGACUGCGUGUAUCCGAAGAAAAAGCAUCGGCUAACUCCGUGCCAGCAGCCGCGUUAAUACGGAGGAUGCGAGCGUUAUCCGGUUUUAUUGGGUUUAAAGGGGGCGUAGGCGGUUCGUUAAGUCAGCGGUAAAAUUGCGGGGCCCAACCCCGUAGUGCCGUUGAAACUGGCAGACUGGAGUAGACGAGAGGUACGCGGAAUGCGCGGUGUAGCGGUGAAAUGCAGAGAUAUCGCGAAGAACUCCGAUGGCGAAGGCAGCGGACCGG